UAAAACAUAAAGCAUGAGCUGGAGUAUUCACCCCUUGUUUUAAAAAAAAACCCAGCCCUGCUCCCUUAUUUUCCUUACAAAAGAAAGGAGAAAAACAAAGCUUUGCUCCCUAUCUAAUUUCAUCCUAGCCAAAGUAAAAAAUAUUGGAGCACAAAGUCAUCCCUUAACUCAUCCGUUUCAAAAGAGAGAAAGGGGGAACAGCCCUUGCACUACUACAUGUUUUAAAAUACCCAAAUUCUCAUCAAAUAACUUCAAUUUUGGCUAAAACCCAACAAGCUCGGCAGAGAAAUAAAUUAGUGAGCUCAAUUGGGGAAGGGAAUUUGAGCAGCAACAAUAAAGGGAGGUUAUUAAUUGAUUGCCAAAAGUAAUUUUCAGCAACUCACAAUUGGUGUACGGUAAGAGUGAUGUUAUUAACUAUUUUUUUUGAGGAAAUUGAAUAAUUAGUGUUGUGUUUUAUUGUCGUUAUGAUUGGAAUUAGUAAGAAGGAGAUUAGUGGUUGGUGUGCGGAGAAAUAAGGAUGGAUGAUUUCUAUGAGAGAUCUCAGUUAAGCCACAAACAAAUUGUUAUGAGAAUCUGAGAAUUGAAUAAUGCACGUAACAUGUUCGAUAAAAUGCCCAAACGAAAUUCAAAGCUUACAAACGAAUAAUUUCCCGAAGUUUGGAACUAGGAAACAUUUAUACAUAUAUUAUGAGGUUUCCUAAGUCUAUUAGAAGAACCAAAACAACUUUGAAAGCAAGAAGAAAUGGAAGUGAAUCAAAUGAAAAUUUAUUAAAACAGUGGUGAACACUGACUUUUGGGCUUUAUAUUAGAUGUCUUAACGAGGUUGUUAGAGACCAAUAAAUGAUGGAAAUCCUACCUUGUAGCAAGGAAUUGAGGUCGGAUCAAGUAUCAAGUCAAUUGGACUUGUGUAGCAAAAGUUACGCUAACCGUUAGGAGGCUUGAAGAAACAAAAUCCAAAUAGUUAGUGGACUGCUGACCAUAGAAGAAAAAUUCGAGGGUAGCUAGAUUGUUCAGAAAAUUCUGGGCUUUUGGGAAAGUAUAGUACACUGAAUAAACUUUCCAUAGAUUCCAGAACGGACUAAUUCCGACUUGGGGGAGGGAGUUAUGGCAUUUCAAAGUAAGCGCGUCGAAUCUGUCCAAAAUUUGGAAGUCAGAUUCGAACCUGUUCCUUACGCGAAUUUUCUGGAAUUAUGGGUGCAGAAUUUGGAAAAGGUUAUUGAAUAGGAGUUGUAGCUCCGGAAGUUAGCUUCGCGUGGGCGCAAGAAUCGCUAAAAAAUGUUUUGAAACGAAUUAGUUAUGACUGUUUUAGCGAGAGAGUGUAAAGCUGGGAAAAAAUUAAAAACUGUUAUGAACGUCCACUUUUGACGCACUUUUUGGGCUGCCUAAUGAACCCGAAUUGGGUGACUCGUAUUUUUUAAAAAUAGUCCUACAUACCAUGUAUAACAUAUUCAAAAAUGAGCGCGAUACAACAUGAGCUAAAAAUGGCAAAAUUGCAAAAUAGCCGCGUCGCGAAGGGGUUGCUGCCCACAGCAGCAGCAGCAGCAGCAGCACACAGACAGCAGCAGCGCACAGUAGCAGUUGGCUGGGGGCUGUUUUGGCCUCUUGUUUAACGUGUCUAAAUUACACAAAAUGUUCGGUUAGAAUUUUUUUAAAAUAGGUGGACAUACCACCUAUAGCAUAUCCAAAAUUGGUCGGGAUCGGACGAACGAGACAGAAACUAAAAAUAUACAAAGUGGACGUCAGAACACGUUCGCCGGCGGCCUACGCCAAGGCAGGUCGGGCCAAGCCAAGGGCAGUCGGGCCCAGUUCGACGCCGCGAUGCGGUUUUCAUAAUGAAACGCAAUAUUUGACGUCGUGACACGUAUUUCAAGGUGGCGACACAAAUUUCGAGGUUUUUGACAGUUUCACGUAUUCUGAGGCAUCGAGGUGGAUAUAGAACGCAGUUUAAAACCUAUAUAACGCGUAUAAUCGUUUGAAGCAUACUAGACGCUAUAAAAGCAAUAUGUAAACAUAAGAUUACAUGUACAUGGGUAUUAUAAUUGUGUAAUGGGAUAUGUUGACGUUAAUGAAAGCUAUUCCAAAGCUAUAUCUCGGAAUUGAACGGUUUUCGAAAUACAAAGCGAAAUUGUGUAAACGGAGUUGAAAACUCAACGCUUGACCUUAAUAAGUUGUGUAGGUAUAAGACAUACAAAUAGCAUAUGUCUACCUACAAGCCAAGUAAAUGAGGCAAUGUUUGACAUUAUAAGAGAGGCGUAUAUGCAAAAGCAUAUAUAUACCUCAUGUGUACAUAAAAUUUGGAAAAGUAAUGUAAUAUGAACGCAUUAAGCCUAGAAAGCUAAUAUUCGUGUGGAAUAGUAUUAAAAUUACUCACGAAAGCGAAAAUAAGAUAUAAUUAUGCAAAGUAAAGGCACAGAUGCACUAUAUGACUAUAAGUCUACAUAUAGAUACGUGUAAAGUUUGUAAAUGCAUUAUAAAAGGGUUAUAAAUUGUAAAUGUAAUGAAUUAACAUUUUAAAAGUUGUGUUGGAACUUUUUGAGAAUGUAUGGCUAUAUUAAGACCUAAAAUAUUUUAAAAGAAUAUGGAAGUUUCUUGGAAAUACGAAUAUCGAAUAUUAAUAUAGUAUAUGUGAAUGUUUAUUAGCUAUACAUGUUAUGGGAUAUGAAUGUGUGACUAAUGUAAAUAUAUGGAAGUUUCUUGGAAAUACGAAUAUCAUAUAUUAAUAUAGUUUAUGUGAAUAUUUAUUAGCUAUACAGGUUAUGGGAUAUGAAUGUGUGACUAAUGUAUGCAUACAUGUGAACAUAACUGUGUAGGAUUCGUGAAGUGAAGUUAAACUAAAGUUUGUAUCAAUGGUCAUUGAACGAGACAAGUUUUUCAGUUCUAUUAUGUUUGUGGAUUAAAUGUGAUUAUGUGAUGAGCUACAUACCAUGCUUUAUGAAUUGUUAAAGUCACAACAUGACUAAGUUAAUUGGGUUAUGGAACUCAAUUUAUAUGUGAUAUGUGAUAGCACAUGUUGUAUGAAGUAAAUCGAUAAAUUAGAAAUGUAUAAUGCAUGAAUGUAUGCGUUGUAAGGAAUUAUUGAUGCAUGUAGGAUAUGCAUAGUAAAGAAUAUAUGUUGCAUGCGGAUAUGCAUAUUAAUGGAAAUAUAAUGCAUAUGGAAUUGUGUGCUAUGUGAAACAUGAUACUGCUAAAUUUGUUGGGCUGUCGAGCUCAAUCUUGCAAACACAAACUUUUUGCAGGUUAAUAAUGUUAAGCAAUAUUACUUGCUAUACCGAUGAUGAAGAUUGAACGAUGUGCAAAAUGAAUACAUUUCCUUGAAUUAGAAAUGGUAUAAAUUUAUCAUUUAUAGUUUUGUCAAAUGUAAUUGGCAGUUAUGUAUAGUUUGAAAUGUUGAAUGGAUAAAGAAUGUUUAUUCUGAAAUGAGAAUAAAUAUGAUUCUAGUAUAAAGAAGAAUUGUAAAGGUUGCGAUUCAGGGAAUGAAUGAAUGGAAAUAAAGAAAAAAAAUUAUUCUGCAUUUUUAGCUAUUUUAACAUAAAAUAAUGUUUUAAAGCUAUAACAAGGUAGUAUUAACGCACACGAUCGGGAAGGUAAAUGGUCCCGAUUUUGGGGUCGUUACAAGCAUGAUCAUCAUUAUGAUUUUAAAAAUAUUGCUCAAAACUAUGGGUUUAUCACAUAUUAUAAAACAACACCAUGCAGAUAAAUUAAAAGCCUUUAAUUAAAUAAUUCUUUUAAUAAUAAAUGAAUAAGAUUGUUACAAAGUAUAUGCUUUAUGAUCAUCAAACAUGAUUGGCUUGUGUGCAUACUACUUUCAAGCUUCAGAUUCCUUUUUGAUAUUUAACUCUAUCUUCAAAUCAUGUUCAGAAUCGUAUCUUUAAGCUCCAAUAUCUUAAUUCCUUCUCAGAUUCGGAUUCCAAAAGUCAACUCUCUAGUCAAGACAUACGAUUGUAAAGUAGAGCCCCUCAACAGACAAACAUAGAGUAACAAAUCAUAGAUUGAAACUCUUCUCUCGGAACUGUAGAGUGAACUUGUACUGGUCGUAGAGUAACUUAGCAGCCGAGUAGAAAACGUAAAGUAGAUUAGCCAGUAUAAGAGUUACCACACUACAAACAUAAAGUGUUGUAUCGAAGAGUUGGAAAAAUGUCGAACAGUCAGCCAAAUCGUAGAGUGAAUUACAACAUUCAUAGAGUGUAACUGGAAAACGUCGAAUGACUAACUUAGGCUUCCUGCGACCGUAGAGCUAACAGACUGCACUCCAAAACUACGAAAUAUCAAACCUCAUCAUUCUCCACUGAACUUCUCUAAAUCAAACUGCUUCUACACAAACAUCUUUCCUAUGAUUCACAUACAUACUUAACUUAGUUAUCAUGGAACAACAACUGUGCACACUGACUCAAAAUUCAGAACAUACUCUCUUUGCUAUUCAUUCUUUUUUUCACCAACAAAACCUUUAGUUCACUUCUUUUUCUAGGUGAAUGUAUUUUAUGCUGCAUUUCACCUCUCACAUUUUUUUCUUCCAACAAGUGAGUGCAUUUUAUGUGACACCCCCAAAUUUGGGUACUUCAAUUUUACAGAUUUGGUGUUCAAUGUCCAAUUAUUAACUACCCAUAAACAAAGGAUAUCAAUUAACUCACAAGCUUAAAUAAUAAACCUCCUAUUAGAGGGUUACAUAAUAAAACAAAUCCUAGGUUAUCUAACCUUUAUUACAUCAUUUGCGAAAAUAACACAUAAAUAAAUAAGUCUCAUUACAUAAUCUUUAUCAAAUAAAAGUAAACAAGUCUUCAUCACUUGUUCAUCUUCCCUUUACCCUUGUGACAACCUGAAAAUUUAUAAGAUUAAUAAAAUCUUGAAUGAUUAAAUAAGGGUUAAAUAAUAAAACUUAGACUGGAAAUAGAGUAUUGAUUAAGAAUUUUGUGAAGGAUUUGUAUGGUUUAUAAACUGAAAGUGAUUAUCUUAUAGCGAGGUAUAUGGUUUUGGAUAUUGUGAUUAUGUGUAUUUGCAAUAUGUGAUUAAAGGGGUAAGUAUUGAUCAGAUAAAUCAUAACAUUGGUAAACCCUAAUGUUAUAUUAAGAAACCUAAUGUUCAGUUAGGAAACCCUAACGAUCGGUUAGAAACCCUAAUUCCAACUUUGGAAACCUUAAUUUCAGCUUUGGAAAUCUUAAUUCUAGUUUUGAAAAUCCUAAACCCUAAUUUGCAAACCCUAAUGCUAAGUAUAAAACCCUAAGAGCAUUCACAACAGUUUUCUUAUCUUUAUCCCUACUCUGCAGUGUUAUUGGGUCAUUCUACAAAAUAUGGAUUCAAUUUUUUCACUAUGUACCCAACAUGUUCCUUAUAUUAUUCCUUAAAUAAUGAAAUUUAAAAUUUAAAAGUUCCAACAGUCAAAACAUGAAAUUAAUAAUAAUCUUAUAAUUUAUAAAAGAGAGUAUAAUUUAUCAAUUAUAUUUCAUUGUAAAAUAAUUUUUAUUUAUUUUAAAUUUUAAGUAAUUUAUGGAGUGGGUAUUGAAUAGAUUGUAAUUGUAAAUGUACAUAAGAUCAAUAUUAACUUCUAAAAAGUUAAUUUGUGAUAUUUUUAAAUUUAAAUUUAAUAUGAUUCAUUUAAAUUUUGAAAAUAAUAAAUUUUAUAAUUAAUAGUACUUUUAUAAUAUUUAUAAUUAUAUUGACAGAAAAUAAAUAAAUUUAUAUCAAUUUUAAAUUUGUAUACAUUUGAUUUUUUUUUUAAAAGUCAAUAUUAAGUUUAUAAUUUGAAAAUCAAGUAGUAAACAAAUGUCAAGAUGUGUAUGAUUGAUGAGUUGUCCACUUAAAUGAGGGUGUAAAAUGUCAUUUUAUAUAUAUAAAGAACAGUCUUUUGAUUCCCUCACAUUGGGGAGUAAAAUCCUAUAUAGGGAUUAAAAUAGAAAGUCAAAUAAGGAUAAGGAAACUGUUGGAUAAUGAUUUAUUGAUAUAUUCUUAAAAAUUGGGGAUAGAGAGUUUAUUAGGGAAACUGUUAUUAAUGCUAUUAAUGCUCUAAGGGUUAAGAAUUAAGGGAAUCAUGUGAAAUGACCAAACUACCCUUAAAAUUAUAGGGAAAAUUACCAAAAUACCCUUUUGGUCGGGAAAUUAUCAAAAUACCCUUUAAUUAACUUUUAAGUAAAAGAUAGAACCAAAUCUGGAUGAGUCAUCACUUGAGAUUGCCCAUGUGCUUCAAAUCAACUUGAAUCAGCCAUCCAAUGACACCUUGCAACAACUACAACCAUUGAAUCAAAUAUAGAAAAUUAAAGUAAGAAAAAUUCUUUACUUUAGUUUUUCAUAAGCCAAGACUCCUUUUCUCUCUCUCUUAGACCACUAAGUUUCUUAAGAAACUCAGUUCUAAGUUAAGUAAGAAUCACCCCAUAACCAUACAAGAUUUGGAUCAAGGAGCAGAAAUCAAAAGUUGGAUCAAGAAGGUAUAAACCCUAAUUCAUGCUAGCUCUUUAAGAUCUCAGUAGAUUAUAUGUUUUGCUGUUUAAAUGUGUGCUAUGUGAUAUUAUUUAGUGAUCUAUAAUGAUAUAUCAUGGAUCCAUAACAUUUAAAUGUAUGAAAAUAAUGAUUUAAGAAACUGUCAAGAACCCUAGAAAUAUGGCCUGACAAUCAAAUGUCAGAGGCCAUAGAUCUUAAUCUGUUAAGUGUUAGGCUUGCUAAGUGUAUCCUUCUUAAAGUUUGUCAUGAGGAGAGUAAUCUGAAAGUGAAAUCAUGUCCAUACCAUGUCCAGAUCUCAAGUUAUUAAUGAUCAAACAUGUUUGACCAGUCAUGAAAAUGAAUUUCUGGAAAACCCAGAAACUGCCCAAAAAUGUCUAACAACAUGUUUAGGGGCUUAGAUCUUGCAUCUGUUAUGUUGUUAGUUUGUCUAAGUGUAUCAUUGAUAUACCCUGACAUAUGGACUAUAGAACCAUGACAUUAAAACACCUAAAUUAUCAACAGGAUCAAAGUUAUUGAUGGUCAAACUGGGUUGACCAAGCACAAAUUCAGUUUUCUGGAAUUUCUAAAAAACUGAAGAACAAGUCUCUGACAGUCUUUUGACCAAGCCAGAUCUUGCUAUUGUGAUGUUGUUAAGCUACAUAAGUGUAAUACUUUUGUACCUUGACAUAUAUACUACAAAAGUGUGACACUAUAACACUUAAAGUAAUCCUAGAAUCCAAGUUAUUAAGAGUCCAAAAUGACCCCUCAUCACUGUCUGAGUUUCUGGGUAACCCAGAAAUUCAAGAACAGCUCUGACGUCAAUUUUGAUCACUUAUAACUUCUUGUUAUGGUGUAGUUUGACCCUAAAACUGGUUAGUACUUGUAGUAUUACACUAGUACUAUACCAUUGAUAUAUUUUCUUGCCUAGAAACAUCAUGAACUAGGAAUUAAAGAUAGUCAAAGUAGGCUACAAAGCAUUAACCAAGACUGUUCUUCAAGGCUCAAGAACACCUAUAGCGACAGUUUUUGUCGCGAUAGGCCUUUAGCGACAGUUUAAAUGAAAAUUAAUUAAUUUAAUUUAAAUAAAUAGAAAAAAAUUAUGAAAAAUUCAUAAUUAAGUUAUAAAAAUUAUUUGAAGUUAUAAAAAUUAACUUUUAAUAAUUUAAGAUAAAUUUAAUUAAUAUUUUAAUUUAUUUAAAUGCUAAUGAUAUUAAAUUUAUUUAAUAAUUAUAUUAAAUAAAUUAGUUAAAAAUAAUUUUAAUAUUUUAAAAAUUAUUUAAAAAUGAUUAAAGUGUUAAAAAUAUUUUAAGUUAUAAUGAAUAACUUUUAAUAUUUUGGUAUGGAUUUCAUUAAUAAUUUAAUAUUAAUGAUAAUAAAUUUAUUUAAUAAUAGUAUUAAAUAAAUUAUUUAAAAAUGAUUAAAGUGUUAAAAAUAUUUUAAGUUAUAAUGAAUAACUUUUAAUAUUUUGGUAUGGAUUUCAUUAAUAAUUUAAUAUUAAUGAUAAUAAAUUUAUUUAAUAAUAGUAUUAAAUAAAUUAUGUAAAAAUGAUUUUAAUGUUUUAAAAAUCAUUUAAAAAUGAUAUAAAGAUUCUAAAAAUGUUUGAAGUUAUAAUAUAUAACUUUUAAUUUUUUGACAUGAAAUACAUUAAUAUUUUAAUAUUUUGAUAUGAAAUACAUUAAUAUUUUAAUAUUAAUUGCAGUUAUUUAAGAAUGAUUUUACAUGUUUUAAAAAUCAUUUAAAGUUGAUAUUAAGGUAUAAAAAAUAUUCUGAGUUAUAAUAAAUAACUUUUAAUAUCCGGACAUGAAUUUCAUUAAUAUUUGAAAUAAAUUAAAUAUUAAUGAUGAUAGAAUUAUUCAGUAUUUUAAUCAUUUAAAAAUGAUAUUAAUGAUUGAAAAAUCAUUAUAAAUGAUAAUAAUUAUUUAAAAAUUAUUAUGAGCUUUCGAAAAAUGUUAUGACUGAUAAUUAAAUUAUCUAAAGUAAUAUUGAAGCGUUUAAGUAGAGUUUUAUUGAAAAUAAACUUGAUAAUUAUCCGAUAAGGCAAUCAGGAUGUCGAAAUAAAACCCAAAUCAAAUUAGACUGAAAUAGUUUGAAUUGAUAAUAUUUCUUAUGUGUUCUAACGACUGUUAGGGAAAUUUGGUAAUGUGUUUAUGUUGUAUUAUGACUGUAAUUAACAUGAGUGUACAUUAUGAUAUUAUUCUAAUUGAGAGAUGAAUAUUAUCAAUAAUAGGUCUUUCAAAUGAAGCUAAAUUAGAUUACGUAGCAGUAAUCAACGGUACAAGCAAGUUUCCUAACUCAAACUUGUGUUGUUAUUUCAAGGCAUGUUCGUGGUUAAUCAGUGUUGAUUAUACCACAUCUAUGAUUUAUUAAUUCGUACAUGGUGCAUGUUGUAUAUGUUCAUCAGGUAUGAAAGGUUGAUCACCUUCAUUACCAUAUGGUUCAGUUAAAUUUGUUUAUGUUUAUUGUUGGCCAUUUGACAUUAUUGAUUCAGUCAUUCAGUUAUGGAAAUUGAUUUGUAUUCUUUCACAAUCAUUAUAUUGUUGAAAGUUUUUCAACUUAUUAUUCCUUUUCAAUCAUUAUAUAUCUUCAUUUGAACUUAAACUUGUUGGGCAAAAUUGUUGUUCACCCUUGCUAUAUCAUGAUAAAAUUUUCAGAUUAAGACGAAACUUCGGAUACAGGCAAAGGCAAAGACAAAUUCCAGAAUUGGAUUAUGAUGCAGAUUGUAAUAGUAUUGGAGGCAAAUGACAUUGUAUGUCGUAUAUGAUAUUGAAUGCCGGUAUUAAGUUAAGGUUAUAGGCAUUGGGAAUUAUGUGUAUAAGUUUAUUGUAUAAAUAAUUUAUGUUUAUAUCUUCC
rnacentral:lncRNA from 1 species